AAUAGCGGAGGAAAAGAAACUAACAAGGAUUCCCUUAGUAACGGCGAGUGAACCGGGAAGAGCUCAAAUUUGAAAUCUGGCGUCCUCCGGGCGUCCGAGUUGUAAUCUAUAGAAGCGUUUUCCGCGCCGGACCGUGUAUAAGUCUCCUGGAACGGAGUAUCAAAGAGGGUGACAAUCCCGUGCUUUACACGAUGACCGGUGCUAUGUGAUACGUUCUCUACGAGUCGAGUUGUUUGGGAAUGCAGCUCAAAACGGGUGGUAAACUCCAUCUAAAGCUAAAUAUUGGUGGGAGACCGAUAGCGAACAAGUACCGUGAGGGAAAGAUGAAAAGCACUUUGGAAAGAGAGUUAAACAGUAUGUGAAAUUGUUGAAAGGGAAACGAUUGAAGUCAGUCGUGUCCAUUGGGUUCAGCCGGUCCUGCCGGUCUACUCCCUUUGGACGGGUCAACAUCAGUUCUGACCGGCGGAUAAUGGCACGAGGAACGUGGCACCCUCCGGGGUGUGUUAUAGCCUCGCGUCGCAUACGCUGGUCGGGACUGAGGAACGCAGCUCGCCUUCAUGGCCGGGGUACGCCCACGUACGAGCUAGG
rnacentral:rRNA from 1 species